GGCCACAUUACGACGAAACACCGGUUUUCGUACGAUCACUGAAGUUAAGCAGUGUCAAGCCUUGUCAGUACCUGGAUGGGUGACCGCUUGGGGAUAACAGGUGCAGUC